AAGAAAGGGUCAGUAAUUGGAAUGCCCAGUUCCACGCUUAAAUCGAAAACAUAACUGUAAAACAAGACUCCCCCCGGAUUGAUGUUAGUAUGGACGGUACCCGAGGAUUCGGUUAGCCGUGGAGUGUGAUUGAUUGGUGGUGGGGGAGUUAAAACUUUACUUUUCUGUUUGGGAACCGCCUAUAGCAUGAGUAGCAUGGAAGAUGUUGAGAACUCUUGGUCACUGCGUUGACAAUGAAAGCAUGCCACCCAAAAUUAUUAUCUCUGUUUGCAAAGCUUGUGCUAUCGCACCUCUGCAAAUCAAUGCUUCCCUCUGCGAAGGGCCUGUCUAUUUAUUUUCCUGUUGAGUCAUCCUCUUCUUGUAGAAGCACCAAUUAGAGAGCACCUCUGCCAUUUUUAUGCUUUGCUUUUGAUUGAUAUUGGGUAUGACUAUGACUGGAUCUUCGUUGCUAUGAAUUACAAUGUUUAGUCAGACCUUGAUCUUUCAAAGUGCUCUGCACUUAUGUUUUGCCGUCUCAGAAAGAGCUAGCGAGAUACCACCUAUUAAUAUUGCUUCAUGCUUGUUUUGAUUGAAGUGUUGGUAUUUGAAACUCAUU
rnacentral:lncRNA from 1 species